UUAAGAAGCCAAAUAAGAUAUCAUUUACAUCAAAAAUGAAAAAAUAAGGGGGCAUCUACUUUCUAUAAUAACGACCUGGGAAACUCAGACCAUCCUUCCUUCUGAGGACGCUGAAAAAAACUGAAUCCAAGAACUAACAACAUAUUAAGGAACUGCCAGGUGGUGACCCAGCAUGCUAAGAACACAGCAAGGAAUUCGAAGUUGUUUUAACAUUAGAAAAUCAACUGAUGUGAUUCAGCACAUUUACUGAAUAUUAUGAUGACCUGGGCAGAGUCAGAAAAGACAACUGACAAAAUUCAGAUCCUGUUGAGAUAAAUAUUAGCAAACAACCUAGAAAAUCAAGCAUUAUAUUUAAUGGUGAAACAUUAAACAUUUCCUUCUGAGACUUGGAAUGGACAAGGAUGACAUCAUUACUUCUAUUCAACGUUGUACUGAAGGCCCCAGACACUACAGUAAGACAAAAACAGAAUGGAAGAUAAAAGGAUUGGAAAGAAAGAAACCAAACUGUCAUAACUCACAGAUCAGGUAGUGGCUAUAUGCAUACUGGCUUUGUAAUCGUUGCUUAAGCCGUAUUUGUGCUGUGCAUUUUUUAUUAACUCCUAUGCAUCGCCAGGACCCUGAAGGUGUCAUACUCUUCCUGACAGGACCUACCAGCUUGACGGAGAGCUCUAUCCCCAUUUCCUAAAGAAGAAACCUGAUCCUUGGAAAUGUUCAGUGGCUGCCCCAAGAUGUCGGCACAACCUCUUGUGCUCUUGCCUCCUGCCACAAGAACAUAUGUCCCAGAAAAGGGCCACUCCAUCAGCCUAGGUCCAGAAAUGAGAGGACACAUGGACUGAACUUGAAGAUGGCCCACAGCAGACCUGCAGUCAACUCUCAGCCUUUAUGUAAUGCGGGAAAGAAGGAAAUGUGAAUAUUAUAGACUACUAAAAUUCUAAAGUUGUAACAUAGCAAAAUGAUCGAUACAAUUAGCAGUGGCAAUCAGUCUAGCAUAUUGUCAUGCUAUAUGCAUGCUAUAAAACUAUUGAACAAAAAUAUCACUAUCCUAUCAUGGACACAUUGGACUUUUCUUUUCUCCUUAUGACUGCAUCACGUGUGAUGAUCAGAAAUGGAGUGAAGACAGAAAAAUAAGAAAAUUCAAGAAUGUGCUACAGAGUGAUCCUCUCCCUCUUAGAGCACCCACAGAAACCACUCAUGGCUUCUCUGUCUGCAUCCUCUCCACACAAACAUAUUCUUUAAGGUACCAGCCCCAUAUCACAUACCUGUAUGUCAGCCCAUAAUAGGCCUUACCUUAGAAGCCAAAGAUCCAUAACUACACAGUAUUCAUGUUGUAUAAUGUGGAGCAGCACCAAA
rnacentral:lncRNA from 1 species